rnacentral:misc_RNA from 1 species
GAUGAAGAACGCAGCGAAAUGCGAUAAGUAGUGUGAAUUGCAGAAUUCAGUGAAUCAUCGAAUCUUUGAACGCACAUUGCGCCCUUUGGUAUUCCAAAGGGCAUGUCUGUUCGAGCGUCAUUUGUACCCUCAAGCUUUGCUUGGUGUUGGGCGUCUUGUCUCUAGCUUUGCUGGAGACUCGCCUUAAAGUAAUUGGCAGCCGGCCUACUGGUUUCGGAGCGCAGCACAAGUCGCACUCUCUAUCAGCAAAGGUCUAGCAUCCACUAAGCCUUUUUUUCAACUUUUGACCUCGGAUCAGGUAGGGAUACCCGCUGAACUUAAGCAUAUCAAUAAGCGGAGGA